rnacentral:rRNA from 1 species
GAUGAACGCUGGCGGCGUGCCUAAUACAUGCAAGUCGAGCGAACAGACGAGGAGCUUGCUCCUCUGACGUUAGCGGCGGACGGGUGAGUAACACGUGGAUAACCUACCUAUAAGACUGGGAUAACUUCGGGAAACCGGAGCUAAUACCGGAUCAUAUAUUGAACCGCAUAGUUCAAUAGUGAAAGACGGUUUUGCUGUCACUUAUAGAUGGAUCCGCGCCGCAUUAGCUAGGUGGUAAGGUAACGACUUACCAAGGCAACGAUGCGUACCCGACCUAAGAGGGUGAACGGCCACAGUGGAACCAAGACCCGUUCGACAGGCGUGAGGGAUGCACACGCAGGGAAUCUUCCGAAAUGGGCGAAAGCUUGACGGAGCACCCCCGCGUGAGGGAUGAACGCCUAGGGAGCGGAAAGCGCUUUACAUCGGGACGAUGAAAGGGCUAAGAAACCAGGAUCGUUUCGACGGUACCCAAUAAGAAAGCCGCGGUUACCUUCGAG